rnacentral:lncRNA from 1 species
UAAAAUAGUGGAUGCAGAGGGUAUGAUAAAAAGAAGAACGUCAAAAAAAGGAGAAACGAGAAGGAGAAUGAAUACUCGAGGGUAAGGGCAAAGUACCAUGCCACAGGCCCAAAAGGAAGGUAGGGUCAGAAACAGAGGUAAUUACCACACCUAGAGAAAAAAAAAAAAAUUUAUAUUUCUCCGACUUCUAUAAGGUAAAGUGUCUAUGAUCAUGUUAUUUCUCUCUCUCUUCAAAUAAAUAAUUGAUAAGGAUGCAACCAACAAAGCCAC